rnacentral:lncRNA from 1 species
CAGGAGUGAUAAGCGUGAACUAGAGAGUGCUGUGCAGGAGGAAGCUGGGGCCGCCGUCGGGCCUUCUCCCUCCAGGGGCCCAAGAGCCACUGGUACUCAGUGUCUGGGUGGGGGCAGGGGGGAUUUUUGUUCUCCCAGCACCUGCGGCUGUUGAGACCAGAGAAGCUGGUGGUCGACCACAGCCUGGGGUAUUAGUUCACCCCUAGCUUCUCCCCAGCGAGACCCCAGGGCCCUUGGGCACAGGGGAUUAAGCCUCUAUCUGCUUACGUGCAAGCGGAAGAAAUAGGCCCAGAGAGCAACAGUGGCGGGUCUGCAGUCACACAGCCAACUUGCGCUUGUGGCAGUGGCAAGGUUGGUGAGUAUCUGAGUCUUCAGGCCACGGCAUUUUCCGCUCGAGUGGAGCCUGAAGUUCUGAGGGUACCCCUCACUCAAGCUCCAGGCGUCAGGAAAAGAACAUUCCACGAAGUCCAUCUGGAAGACGGUCCUUUCCCUGCUGCCCCCAGAUGAGAGAAAAAUCCAGCCAGAAUUGGCAUCUGUCAAGAUAGGCUUUUAGGAGCCACGGCUCCCUAGAGUGGUCUCCACACAUUCUGAUUAUAUGCAAUCUCAUUUUGCCAUCAAGAGACUUAACCCACUCCCCUAUCCAUGUAGAC